rnacentral:lncRNA from 10 species
GGGGCGAGGAAGCUGCCGGGGAAGUGAGAUGACGGUCGCGGGGGUGCCCAGGAGCCCUGAAAAACUUGUGCCCUGGGCACGGCAAAAUCUGCAGGUUGCAGAAAGUCUCAACUGAUCCUGGCAUACCCCGAGGUGCCGACUUUUAGAGCUGAAGAUGCAAGAAAGAUUGGGAUCCUGCGAUGCACCGAACCUGUCUCUCGAAGUCUUCCUGUGUUAAACAAUUUGCUACAAGGUCACACAAUUUUAACUAGAAGACUGAGAUGUGAACCUGGGUGGUCUGAUGUGAACACCACUGUCUGGUAAUCCCAACGCUCUGCUGCUUUGCGACAGAGAAUGUUUUAGGGAACACACAGACUAUGUACUUAACCAAAUCUGGAAUUUGCCGUAAGAUAUUAAUCAGAGAAGUAAUGAUACUUGCAUUUUAAAAUGAAGGCUUUGGCAGUAGGAGAAGGGUGAAUAAGAGGCUUAAGAGCCUGAAGGGAGAAAUGCCAAUGAUACAAUUAUCCAGCAAGAAAUAAUCAGAAGUUGAAGUAAGGCAAUGAUGGUAGGGAUGGAAUAUAAAAAAGCUGUACCCCUAUCUGACAUCUUUAUUGGGGGAACCCGCCCCCAAUAUUUCAACGUAGGUUCUUUCUAUUUUCCAUAAGUGUUGGCCAGCUGAGAAAUAAAGAGAGACAGUAUAAAGAGAGGAAUUUUACAGCUGAGCCACCGGGGGUGACAUCACAUAUCGGUAGGACCAUGAUGCCCGCCUGAGUCUCAGACCAGCAAGUUUUUAUUAAGGGUUUCAAAAGGGGAGGGGGUGUAAGAACAGGGAGUAGGUACAAAAGUACAAAGAUCACAUGCUUCAAAAGGCAAAAAGACCUUACUACUAGUAAGGGUCUAACAAAGAUCACAUGCUUCUGAGGGAACAGGACAAAGGGCAAAAGCAGAACUACUUAUAAGAGUCCAACAAAGAUCACAAGGCAAAGGGCAAAAGCAGAGCUACUGAUAAGGGUCUAUGUUCAGCAGUGCACAUAUUGUCUUAAUAAACAUCUUAAAUAACAGAAAACAGGGUUCAAGAGCAGAGAACUGGUGUGACCACAAAUUUACCAGGGCGGAGUUUUUCCCCACCCUAGUAAGCCUGAGGGUACUGCAGGAGAC